GGGUCAGUAGGUUGGUCGUGCCACCGGUACGUACUGGUCUCACUGAUUCCUCCUUCCUGAAGAACCGUAAUGCCAUUAAUUUGGUGUUGCGGGGAAACAGGACUGUUACUUUGAAAAAAUUAGAGUGUUUAAAGCAAGCUAACGCUUGAAUACAUUAGCAUGGUAUAAUGAAAUAGGACGAUCGAUCCUAUUUUGUUGGUUUCUAGGAUUGACGUA
rnacentral:rRNA from 1 species